AUAGAUUAAGUUAUUAAGGGCGCACGGUGGAUGCCUUGGCACUAGAAGCCGAAGAAGGACGUUACUA
rnacentral:rRNA from 1 species